rnacentral:rRNA from 1 species
CAGUAGCCACGGUAAUACGAAGGGUGCAAGCGUUACUCGGAAUUACUGGGCGUAAAGCGUGCGUAGGUGGUGGUUUAAGUCCGUUGUGAAAGCCCUGGGCUCAACCUGGGAAUUGCAGUGGAUACUGGGUCACUAGAGUGUGGUAGAGGAUAGUCGAAUUUCCGGUGUAGCAGUGAAAUGCGUAGAGAUCGGAAGGAACAUCUGUGGCGAAGGCGACUAUCUGGGCCAACACUGACACUGAGGCACGAAAGCGUGGGGAGCAAACAGGAUUAGAUACCCCCGUAGUCCCUGUCUCUUAUAC